CAAUAGCGUAUAUUAAAGUUGUUGCGGUUAAAAAGCUCGUAGUUGGAUUUCUGCCGAGGACGACCGGUCCGCCCUCUGGGUGAGUAUCUGGCUUGGCCUGGGCAUCUUCUUGGAGAACGUUGCUGCACUUGACUGCGUGGCGCGGUAUCCAGGACAUUUACUUUGAGGAAAUUAGAGUGUUUCGAGCAGGCGCACGCCCUGAAUAUAUUAGCAUGGAAUAAUAAUAUAGGACCUCGGCUCUAUUUUGUUGGUUUCUAGAGCUGAGGUAAUGAUUAAUAGGGAUAGUUGGGGGCAUUCGUAUUUAACUGUCAGAGGUGAAAUUCUUGGAUUGCGUUACGACGAACUACUGCGAAAGCAUUUGCCAAGGAUGUUUUCAUUGAUCAAGAACGAAAGUAUGGGGAUCGAAGACGAUUAGAUACAA
rnacentral:rRNA from 1 species